rnacentral:rRNA from 1 species
GAUUAUGGCUCAGAACGAACGCUGGCGGCAGGCCUAACACAUGCAAGUCGAACGCUGUAGCAAUACAGAGUGGCAGACGGGUGCGGAACACGGGGGAACAUACCCUUUGGUUCGGAAUAACUCAGGGAAACUUGAGCUAAUACCGGAUAAGCCCUUUUGGGGAAAGAUUUAUCGCCGAAGGAUUGGCCCGCGUCCGAUUAGCUAGUUGGUGAGGUAACGGCUCACCAAGGCGACGAUCGGUAGCUGGUCUGAGAGGACGAUCAGCCACAUUGGGACUGAGACACGGCCCAAACUCCUACGGGAGGCAGCAGUGGGGAAUAUUGGACAAUGGGCGCAAGCCUGAUCCAGCCCAUGCCGCGUGAGUGAUGACGGCCUUAGGGUUGUAAAGCUCUUUCACCCACGACGAUAAUGACGGCAGUGGGAGAAGAAGCCCCGGCUAACUUCGUGCCAGCAGCUGC